rnacentral:lncRNA from 1 species
GAGAGAAGUGCAAGAUCACACUUCUGCAGCUCUUUUUUUCUCCUUCUGGCACAUUUUUCAUUUUUAAGACCCCACGUCCUCCAUAUAUGCUUUCCUGGCCCACCCAUUUCCCUCCUCCCCUUACACAGAUGGAGAACUUCCUUUCUGGUGUUCUCUCAGCACUCAGCACAGAUUGCUAGUGCUUUUAUGUGCUGAGCCUUUCCCUUCAACCUGGACUGAAAGAGGAUGGCAAUCUCGCUGAAGCUGUUUCUUUUUCUUCACAACAUAUAGGAAAGUGUUGCCCCUUUUUGGAGGCAACACUACUUGAAUCAGUACUGAACGAAUGUCAGGUCCUUGGGAAAUUCUCCAAUCCUGUCUCCUGUCCUGGCCGGGUGUGCUCCUGGUGCACCAUUCGACUAAGUCAAUUUGAACUAUUUGGGAGACCUUUGUACCUACGUUUCCUUCUGCUUGGAAGAUCCUUUCUGUUUUGUCAGCUCUUACUUCCAUGUUGUGGAAAACUGAUCUGACCUCCUAGUCCUGAAUCAGGGGGCCAUAAAGAAAAUUGAUGAGGACAACUGGCCUCCCAGUAUGUGGAUUCAGUUUCCAUAUGUCAAUUUACCAACUCCCACUGGUAGUCUGAAGAGAUAUGGCUACUGGAGAACAGAAAAUCACCAGUAUUAAUAAAAGCAAUUUUAAGUGUUUACCUUUUAGUAUUUGAAUAGCUUUGUUAAAGAGACGUACUCAAGAAUACUAUGAAGAGACUCUUAUUGUACUCCUUACCUGGAGAUAAUUGUGAUGCCAGAAAUUCAAAUUUAUAUUCAACAAUAUGGUUUUUCAACCAUCAAUAUUAUAAACAUCUAGGCAGUGUCUAUUGUUUGCGCAUUUGCCAUCCUCUAAAAUGAGAUUAUUCUAAGCAUAAAUUAUACUUCAUCAUUCAAGAUUAUAAACAUUUAUAAUAAUCAUAAUAUUCACAGACAUUUCCCUGCUCUCAAAUCACUAGAGCUAAUAGGCAAAGUAGAUACAGCUACAAACAGUGGGAGAAAAUAUUUCUGGCUGACCUACAAAUAGCUGUGCAAUAAUGUAGAGAGGAAAAUAUAGUCUCACUUACAGUGUCUGAAAUUGAGUUUCCCUCUUUAAAGGACAAAGUAAUUUUCAAAAAUAUUUGAGUAUUAUUCUGUGUAAAAAAUCUCUGUUUUAACUGGCUUAUUGAAUUGUAUUUCUUUAUUGUGUUUGUAUUCACUUUUCCAUUUGUGGGUGGAAUUUAUUAUAAUUACCAGUUUUAUACUGAAUGAAACAAAAAUCUCAUAGAUUUAAUAAAACUUUAAAUUCCUUGUCAUUAAUAAUAAAAUGUAUAUGCUUUCUCUAAUAAGUCCAUACUUUAUUGUUUAAAACCUGUUUUUCCUCUUUCUCAAGCACAUGGAUUGUUAAUUUAAAUUCUGAAAUAAAGCCAAUUAAUCCAUAAACAUGGACUGUGGAUAAUGUCGAUAUUACAUGUAAAUUUCUCAGUGUGUGUUUCGUGGACCCAAUAGCAUCAGCAUUAGCUGGGGACUUACGAGGUGGCCUGUGCCUGUAGUCCCAGCUACUCAGGAGGCUGAGGCAGGAGAAUCGCUUGAACCUGGGAGGUGGAGGUUGGAGUGACCGAGAUCGUGC